GCAAGUAUUAUGGAUUAGCCAAAGUGCCAGCCCUACAAAGUUGUUUCACGCUAUAUAUAUAACUGGAACCCAGCCUUUCUGAGCCUGCACUAGUGCAAGGGUUGUACAGUCUCUUGUUCGCCUUAAGGUCAUCUUCUGCAAGAUGUCGAUAUGCGAGGAUUUUGGUCGUUGGUCGUACUUCACCAAUGAUCGUGGUUGUUCAAAUUUGAACCCAUAUAAUUAUGAAAUCGGCGAAAACUUCAAUGUAUUUGUUGAGGGAAAACAAAAUUGUCGAAUCGGAUUAAGAAGUGGUCCAAUUUUAAGUUUUUCAAAACGAGACGAAUUCUCUAGUUUGUGAUCAGACAAUUUAUUGCGAAAAAUGGGAUUCUAGUUUUCCUCUAUAGAUUUCUAGACACAAGAAAGCAUUAAGAUGGUAAAAAUCACGUGCUGGAAAUUUGUGUGAAAAGUUAGAUCUUGACUAGUAUUAUUGGCUAAAAUAAAAACUAGGAAAACGAUAAGAAAAAUGUGAAGGAAGUUUGGAAAUGCCGAAAGUAAUAAGGAAUGCUUGAAAGUAGAACUGAAUUGGAUAUUGGAAUGAUUGUUGUGU
rnacentral:lncRNA from 1 species